rnacentral:lncRNA from 1 species
CAUAUAUAUCGUCUGGCAAUGGAGAAGACUGCAAGUGCAAAAACAAAAAAGAAGUUCAGAAUUCAGCUGAUAAAUCUCAACAGAGAUUAGAAUUCCCAAAGCUCAAGCAACUAUAAGAUGGCCAUUUCCAUGAUGUCGGGUCAUGCUUAAUUUUGCGGCCACAAUCACUAUAAUCAAACACGAAGCAGGUGGCCCAAAGGGAAGUUCAUCACCUAAACCCUAAAGCUGAAAAUGAUCGAUUCAUUACUGUUCGAAUUAGUCCCAACCAAAUACUCAUAACAACUAAGGUCCCGAACACUACUGAUCAAAGAACUAUCACACUAAAUAAUAAAAA